rnacentral:rRNA from 1 species
UGGAGUGAUUUGUCUGCUUAAUUGCGAUAACGAACGAGACCUUAACCUACUAAAUAGUGCGAUUAGCUUUUGCUGAUUUUGACACUUCUUAGAGGGACUAUCGAUUUCAAGUCGAUGGAAGUUUGAGGCAA